rnacentral:rRNA from 1 species
AGUGAACGCUGGCGGUAGGCCUAACACAUGCAAGUCGAACGGCAGCACAGUAAGAGCUUGCUCUUACGGGUGGCGAGUGGCGGACGGGUGAGGAAUACAUCGGAAUCUACUUUUUCGUGGGGGAUAACGUAGGGAAACUUACGCCAAUACCGCAUACGACCUACGGGUGGAAGCAGGGGAUCUUCGGACCUUGCGCGAUUGAAUGAGCCGAUGUCGGAUUAGCUAGUUGGCGGGGUAAAGGCCCACCAAGGCGACGAUCCGUAGCUGGUCUGAGAGGAUGAUCAGCCACACUGGAACUGAGACACGGUCCAGACUCCUACGGGAGGCAGCAGUGGGGAAUAUUGGACAAUGGGCGCAAGCCUGAUCCAGCCAUACCGCGUGGGUGAAGAAGGCCUUCGGGUUGUAAAGCCCUUUUGUUGGGAAAGAAAAGCAGCAGGUUAAUACCCCGCUGUUCUGACGGUACCCAAAGAAUAAGCACCGGCUAACUUCGUG